UUCAAGCCCAGCACUGAGUUUGCUACUGUCAGCGCAGAGCCGGCUUCAGCUCCUCCCCUGUUCGUGCUCUUUCUCUCAAAAGUUGAUAAAACAUUAAAAAAUAAAUAAAGCGCGGUGGAAUUACAAUGAUUAGAGAAAUGCCCAGCGGAGUACAAAUAAGUAUCACCUGCAGUCCCAAGUGACUCAAAGCUUCCUGGAGGGACGGAUGCUCGCCUUGCUCCAAUUUCACAGGUGGGGUCACUGAAACGGCAGAGACCCUGGAGUCGCGGGGCAGACUGCAGCGUUAGGAAAUCGGGCUUCCCCACCGCACGAGCCUGGGGGUCCUCAGAGUGGGCCUGGGAACAGCUCAGGCAGCGGAGACGGAGGAGAACUUCCAGAAACGAGAAGGUUGUUUCCAAGAGGUACCCAUGAGGAACUGAUGUGAUCCCAAAAUGAGGUUGAUAGGGGAUUUUGUUCACUGUUGUCCUGCCAGGGAUCCAGACUGAUGGAGCUGCCACCAUCUUGAAACUGCUGGUCACUAUAGAGACAAGGGGCUCUGGAGGGUCUUGCAGCAAUAAUUAAAUGCUUGGUCUGCAAGUGACUGUCAUUUCUAUCCAUAUUUCAUGGUCAGAAUUGGUCACAUCUUCCCCUCCCUCCCGUGUCCCCCUAGUGGCUCGGCAUGCUGUCACAGACAGGUAUCACCUAUUGAACCCUCCAGGAAACCUGAGCUGCAGAGCUGCCUUACCCAAGGCUUACCCCCUUGCUAGGGCAGCCUACAUGCAGGGACUGUUCCAGUUACAGAAGCAACCGGCUACAGAAAGACCCCCUCCUGUGAUGGCAGGUGCAGAACCCUCUUACGCCAUUUAUGGGCCUUUGUGAAGAGCACAAGGGACUCAUCAGGUUUUGGUACCUGUGACUCUACAACCCCUGGAGAAAGCUCCACUGUUCCAGAAUGCCUUCCUUCUACUGGAAAGAGGGCAGUAAAUGUGUAGAGGCUGAGCGGACUGCCAGGACUCACUUCAUGAUCAUGUGUGCUGAACCAUAAAGUGAUAAAAUAAAGCGGCAGCCUUGAUGGCCUUAGAAUCUAAGGCUGAAAUUAUCUAUUUCCAACUGCCUCCAGCUGAGAAGCGGUUCCCAGGACAGCACUGGAACCCAGUGCUGGGAGGCAGUUUCUUGACCCACCCUCCUUCCUCAAUCAUCUCAGCUGGUUCUCUUUGGCUUGGCUCAGAGACUGACCUUGAAUGACCUCACUGAUCCUGUCCACAGGGACCCCGGAUGUUCUUAGAGUCACAGACUGUUAGUGCUGGAAGGUACAUUUAAUCCAACUUUUCUGUUACGGAGGAGGAAGUGGAGGUUCAGGGAUAAGGGGUGAACUGCCUGUGGUCUUUUGGCUAAUUAGCUACAGUGUUCUGACUGAACUGUGGUCUCUCCCUCCAGCCCAGUGCUAUUUAAUCUUCAACAGUGGCUCUCAUGUGUGUUCUCACAUGAAGCUGGUGGUCAGGCAGAUGGACUGAGGUCCCGUCCUGCCAAAAUCCAAUAUUGGAGGUCUUUCUCCACUGUACAGAAAAAAGAGAUUAAUGAAUUCUCUUCAACCUUAAAUUAUUUUCCAUUAAUUCUUAAACCACCAUCACCUGCUACCAACUGUCUACUAGCCAAUGCUGGCAGACAACGGAACAAAGAUUAGCCACAAAUGAAUAUGAACAAGAACAACCAAAGCCUUGGAAACCAAGUAUCAUUUUUUGUUAAAUGGCUUUUUAAAAAACAGACUGUUAAGACCAUGAGUUUUCUAUUGCAUUCAUACAAUAAAAUCGUGCAUUCUGGAGACACUGUUUUAAAUUCAAAUGCUAGACUAUAACAUUAUUUCAUGGUUUUUCCCAAAGAGCACUAUGAGCUCCAGGGACUGUCCUGGGAACAUCCUGCAUUUCCCUUGAUGUGAUUUUGGGUCAUCUCC